rnacentral:rRNA from 1 species
GGAUCCAGACUUUGAUUCUGGCUCAGGAUGAACGCUAGCUACAGGCUUAACACAUGCAAGUCGAGGGGCAGCGGGAUUGAAGCUUGCUUCAAUUGCCGGCGACCGGCGCACGGGUGAGUAACGCGUAUCCAACCUUCCGUACACUCAGGGAUAGCCUUUCGAAAGAAAGAUUAAUACCUGAUGGUAUGAUGAGAUUGCAUGAUAGCAUCAUUAAAGAUUUAUCGGUGUACGAUGGGGAUGCGUUCCAUUAGGUAGUAGGCGGGGUAACGGCCCACCUAGCCAACGAUGGAUAGGGGUUCUGAGAGGAAGGUCCCCCACAUUGGAACUGAGACACGGUCCAAACUCCUACGGGAGGCAGCAGUGAGGAAUAUUGGUCAAUGGACGAGAGUCUGAACCAGCCAAGUAGCGUGAAGGAUGAAGGUCCUACGGAUUGUAAACUUCUUUUAUAAGGGAAUAAACCCUCCCACGUGUGGGAGCUUGUAUGUACCUUAUGAAUAAGCAUCGGCUAACUCCGUGCCAGCAGCCGCGGUAAUACGGAGGAUGCGAGCGUUAUCCGGAUUUAUUG